CUACGGGGCGCACCAGUCGAGGAAAUUUUUCAAUGCCCGCAAGGGUGAACGAGUAAGCCAGAGUGUUUUCUUUACGAAAACUUUUGUCUGUUGUAAAAAGACAGACGAAUAAGGACUGGGCAAGACCGGUGCCAGCCGCCGCGGUAAUCCCGGCGGUCCAAGUCGCAUCCACAUUUAUUGGGUCUAAAACAUCCGUAGCUUGUUUUGUAAGUCUCUUGUGAAAUUUUAUAUCUCAAAUAUAAAGCGUGCAAGAGAUACUACAUUGCUAGAGACCGGAAGACGCAAAGAGUACGACGGAGGUAGCGGUAAAAUGUGUUAAUCUCUGCCGGACUAACAAUGGCGAAGGCACUUUGCGAGUACGGAUCUGACAGUGAGGGAUGAAGGCUAGGGGCGCAAAAGGGAUUAGAUACCCUUGUAGUC
rnacentral:rRNA from 1 species